rnacentral:rRNA from 1 species
UCCUACGGGGCGCAGCAGGGAAUAUUGGGCAAUGGGCGCAAGCCUGACCCAGCAACGCCGCGUGAAGGAAGAAGGCUUUCGGGUUGUAAACUUCUUUUCUCAGGGACGAAGAAAGUGACGGUACCUGAGGAAUAAGCCACGGCUAACUACGUGCCAGCAGCCGCGGUAAUACGUAGGUGGCAAGCGUUAUCCGGAUUUACUGGGUGUAAAGGGCGUGUAGGCGGGACUGCAAGUCAGAUGUGAAAACCAUGGGCUCAACCUGUGGCCUGCAUUUGAAACUGUAGUUCUUGAGUACUGGAGAGGCG